rnacentral:rRNA from 1 species
GGCUUUUUGAAUAUAAUUUAAGGUCGGGCCUGCCCAAUGAUUAAUUAAAUGGCCGCGGUAUACUGACCGUGCAAAGGUAGCAUAAUCAUUAGUUUUUUAAUUGAAAGCUUGUAUGAAGGGUUUAAUGAAAAAAAUACUGUCUCUAUUUAAGUUUAUUAGAAUUUUAUAUUUAAGUAAAAAAGCUUAAAUUUAUAUUGAAGACGAGAAGACCCUAUAGAGUUUGAUAUUUUUUGUAGUAAUUAGUUAUUAAGAAUUAUAAGGAUUUGUUACAUAGAGUAUUUAAUUGGGGUGAUUGAAAAAUUAAUUAAACUUUUUUUGUAUUUUUACAUUGAUUAAUGAAUAAAUGAUCCUUUAGUUAAGAUUAAAAGAUAUAAUUACCUUAGGGAUAACAGCGUAAUUUUUUUUAGAGUUCUUAUCGAAAGAAAAGAUUGCGACCUCGAUGUUGGAUUAAAAUUAAUUAUUGGUGUAGAAGCUAAUAAAUUAGGUCUGUUCGACCUUUAAAUUUUUACAUGAUCUGAGUUUAAACCGGUGUAAG